CCUGAAGUAGGCCUAAAGCAAAUCUUGGGGUACCAGACCUUCAGUAGUAUUAAAUGCCAAGGAUUUCAUAGCCAAGUUCAUGUCCAGGUGUUUCAGAGUUCCCUAAGGACCUCAAGGAUCCCGGGCUCACACCCAGACCUUUCUCAAAUAAAGUCUGAUUUGUGUGUAGUGUGGAAGAGCCAUCCCUGAUAUGCCAGAGUUCUGAGUCAUCUCAAGGACCUCUAAGCAGUACACUUACCAAAGGGUCCAAACUUAAUAACCUAAGAAUAAGUGAGAGUGUUUGAUAUGAUUUGAAAAGCUUUUGGUAAACAAUAUACAUAUGAAUCAUAGGAGUGAAAAGAUUUUUUGAAAACCAGAACAAGUUGGGGGGGGGGGGUAAAACAACUUGAGAAAGUAUGAAAGUAUCUUGAAAUAAGAACACAAAUAACAGAAUAACCAGAGUCAGAAACACUUGGAAAACAGAUUCCACAUAGGGAGAGAGGAGUUGGGACACAUAGAAUACACCUUAGUGUCUAACAGAUGCACAAAAUUCUCAAGAGUUUGUAGAAUUAGUAAGUUAGUCGCAAGGGUAGAUGAUUGAGACAUGGAGUAAAGAUCACAUCAGAAACAUGUUGAGAACACAUAAACAACACAACUAGAGUUACCCUAGAGAGACUAGAUAACUUAGCAUGAGCAAAGAAAAACAUGCAAUAACUUAAAUGGGCAAGCUAAUGCUAAUCACACACUUAACAAAACAAGGUUUAGGAAUGUUAGAUAAAAAGUAGACAGGCAACCAUUCUAAUCACAUAUUGAAGAAGACAGUGUUAGGCAUGCUAAUCAAGAUAGUAAAUAGGCAAGUAAAGUUGAGACAUGUUAACCACAUGUUGAGCAAGGCAAUAUUAUGCAUGCUGGAUAAACAGUAAACAGGAGCAGAAAUGAACUCAUGAUUGAUGAACUAAGGCAAUAAUGAAACACAUAGGGUUUAGGUUAUAAAAUAUAAGAGGCAUACCAGUUAGGGAAAGAGAACACAAGAUGCAAGACAUGUGUUAUGCAAUUUCUAGCCUUGGGUUACAGCCGGCAAAACUAAUGAAGAUCACAAGCAGCAGGAAGAAUAGAGAGUUUGUUUUUAGAGUGUGAGAGUAAUAGUGAACUAAUGCUCGUGUCUUGAACUAAGUGUAGAGGAGCGUAUGUAUAGCAGUUUAGGAGCGGAGCAGAAUAAGGUUAAAGGAAUCAAAACUCAGCAAUUAGGGUAAUUACAAAAUCAAUCACACACAAAAUUAACGUAUUCUUCCUUCAAUUAAGGAGAACUACUCAACGGUUAAAGGACAUGAGUAUCUUAAGGAAGGAAAAUUAGACCUAAGUAAAGAGGUAAACAAAUAAAAGUUUAAUUAAGGAAAUAAUCGUGAAGAAUCAGAUACAUUAUAGGCAAUAAGGUAAUAAGAAUAAUUAGAGUCGUAAAUAAGAAAAUAAAUCAAGAAUUAGCACAUAAUUUGAACCAAUAAAAUCAAUAAAUCAAAAUCCAAAAUAGAAUUGAUUUAAAGAGAGGGAAAAAUAUCAGUUUCGACAAAUAAAACUUCAUAAACACACAUAAAUUAGCCAAGAGAUCGACUCAGAAACCCUAGCAGAGAUGAACUAGGGUAAAAAUCACAAGAUAUUGAAUUAGACUAAGGAAAAUCGUGAAAGCCAAAGCACAGAGCAUAACAAUAUAAUCAGUGACACGGAAGAACCCAGGAAUGAAGCAAAAUUACAAGAAAAUUUGCUUUAGCAUAAAUCGAUUAAGGUCCAAAUCAUAUUAACAUGAGUCAGUCAGUAACACUUAAGAACAACGAUUAAACACUUGAAAAUCAGAAAGGCUUUGAAAAAGUGAGUUCGGUAAACCCUAGUUUUAGGAAAAACGGAGAAUCGACUAAAAACCCCUUAAGGACUUCGUGAAAACAUGUGAAAUAUGUUAGAUUCAUCUCAGCUGUGGACAAAUCUAAGAAGAUCAAAGGAUAAACUUAGGGUUUUUAGGAAGGCAACAGAGACGAGCAUAGACAUAGAAAACCAUGGAUAAAAUGAGAAAGAUCUUACUCAAAGUCAAGUCAAAUGACCUGAAAUAGGCAAGAAACCCCAAGGUGUAAACAGAGCGAUGGGCCCCUUCAAGGAUCCAAGAAAUGGAGAUACCAUGGCAAGAAAGAGGUCGAUAUAGGCCUGAGAUAAUAGAGAAACAUCGUAGAACACAGGGCUAAGCUGGUGACAUUGCUUGGAGAUUAGGAUUUAGGUAGAGAGAAUUUAAGAGAGGAGGGGAACAGAUGAUGGAAG
rnacentral:lncRNA from 1 species